ACAUUAAUUGUUGUAAAAUAUGACUUGUUCCUUCUCUAGUGACCUAAUAAAGGAAUAAAAUACAUUGCAUAUGAGAAGAGGUGAUGAUAAACUGGUGUAAGAACAAGUGACUGAGUUGCCGGGGACGGUAGUCACCCCACAACACUAGGAGGAGGUUGUACUGUUUAAUACACCAGUGUGUAUACCUGGUUCCAUAUACAUCUGACACCACUAACCUUGAUAAACUGUGUAUUAGUGUUGCAUGGAAUCUUGCCAGCUUCUUAAUGUCACAGCACAGAGCCGGGCCGGUGUAUGACAUACAACACGGUGUGGUGAUAUUCUGCAAGGCGCCCACUUACAAUUUCACUUAAUUUUGGGCCCAAAACACUCGUGUGCAACCUGCAGCAAAAUAAGCAAGGGUACACUGUUGAGUUUCAAUGUGACCCAAAGUGAACCAGCGAGGGUAUCGGGACAGCACCAGUGAAGACACAUUACCAUUGACUGGAUCAUCUACAUCAUCAUGAUCUUCUAGGAUUGGUAAUCUGAAAAGCUUUUUCUUGAGCAUAGAGUCCAGGAGGCAUAGCACGUUGCUGACCAAGACCAAUUAGUGCAGCCUCCAAGGCUAAGGUAAGAUAGGAUUCCCAGGGAUCGCUGGAGCCUGGGAUGGGAACAUGACGAUACCUAAGUG